rnacentral:misc_RNA from 1 species
GAUGAAGAACGUAGCGAAGUGCGAUAAGUAAUGUGAAUUGCAGAAUUCAGUGAAUCAUCGAAUCUUUGAACGCACAUUGCGCCCGCCAGUAUUCUGGCGGGCAUGCCUGUCCGAGCGUCAUUUCAACCCUCGAACCCCUCCGGGGGGUCGGCGUUGGGGAUCGGCCCUUUACGGGGCCGGCCCCGAAAUACAGUGGCGGUCUCGCCGCAGCCUCUCCUGCGCAGUAGUUUGCACACUCGCAUCGGGAGCGCGGCGCGUCCACAGCCGUUAAACACCCCAAACUUCUGAAAUGUUGACCGCGGAUCAGGUAGGAAUACCCGCUGAACUUAAGCAUAUCAAUAAGCGGAGGA